rnacentral:lncRNA from 10 species
AGAAUUAGUGCUGUGUUCUGUGCGAGGCUUAUUACCACCGAGGCUCUCUCUCUGCUCGCUGGAACGGCAGCUAGAAAACUGGGAGGAGAGCUUCCUGGCAGCAUUAGCAAACUAGCAGCCCCUGAAGGGCGACGAGAAAGAUAUGUAGAUGUGAUGUCUGGAACUCAUGCAGCUAUCUUGCAACGACCAGGAUGAGGCUAAGAGAAUAGGAGAGAUCCUUGCUCAAACAGGCUGAACUCGAGUAUUUUGGGCCCUAAGAAGGAAGGACAAAGAUCCCUGGAGAACUCUCCUGUGGUGUCCUUGUUUUGAGUAGCAAUGGAGGGCAUGUCAUUGGUGGUACACUUUACAGUUAUCAAAUACUGAGGCUAGAUCAUGAAGGAACUAGAGGAUGAAUGGACAUUACCCCUGGAUGCUGGUCUUGAACACAGAUGCCGUAACCAUAAUCCUUCAGGUUGUCCAACUUCUGGAAUGGAUUUUCAGAGCAAAUCAUAAGGCUGCUGCAUCCUCAAGGACAGGGAAGCAGGACCUUGCCAUGUGCCUUGAAGGGGUGAAACUGAAAUUAUGGGUGAGCUGCUUGGAUGACCUGUGGUGGCCCUUUUCCAUGCUUUGAACUUCCUAUUGAUAUAGCUAUCCCAGGCCUUUGCACAGCCUUUCCUUCUCUUUCUGUAUAUCUGUCUCCUCCAUUAGCCCGGAAAUCCACUGAGGGUAGGCAUUGUGUUGUUCUGACCUCUGUUUUCCUAGUCUGCAGAGUGGGGGAAAUUUGCCCAAGCCGGUGAUCUUUUGUAGCCAUUAAUGGCCGUAUUUGAGACCUUUUUUUCCCAGGGACAUCUCCAGACUUUUCCAGAGGCUUCCGUGUUUCUUGGCUUCAUGGUGCCCAGGCCGCCCUGGGUGAGAACAGUUGACUGGUCUGAACUCCGCUGGUCAAGGGCAUUUCGUCUCCCCUAUUCCAGGCUCUCUGGGUGUCAAAUACCCAUAAAACCAUUGCAUCCCGGCCUCAAGGUGGUGGUAUUUGCCUCCCACUCUCAAAGGAACAUCUGGAAGCCUGAAUGGAGAAGGAGGGCUGAUCAGCCAUCAGCUCAGCUGGGGCAGUGUUCCCUGACCUGUCAGCUCUUCCCCUUCAGACCUCAGAGGAUAGAGAGGGUCAGCUGGCAACCUCCACUGAGCCUGUGAACCAGUCCCAGGAGCUUCUCCAGCAGGUGUUUGUCCUUAGGCGGAGAUGUUUCCUGGAUGCCUCACUCCUUUGCCUCUCAAGGAUAAAUGCCCCGAUGACAGAAACCCCCAGCCCCUGCCCAGUGACAGGAAGUGCUGACUUCAACACUGGGUCCUGCCAUUUACCAGAGAGCCCUUGAAGAAAAAAUCAAGAGGAGAAAGGCCCAAAAGAAAGAAAACACGGUGGGCCAGAAAAAUUUCAUCAGGCAGAUUGCUUCAAGAUGAAGACCAACCAGAGAAAAUAUUCCCAGGAGUUAAAAUACGCAGCACGUUUUAGAUACCAAUGACGGCGAUUUGCUUUCUCUUCAUUUCUGUCUUCACAUUGCUGACAACUCCCCUCAUUGUCUUAAAUAUGGAUUGCCAAAGUCAAUUAAAUACGCAAGAGGAACAUUGUACAUUUUGGAGGAAAGUAAUUAUUGUUACACCUUAGAGCAGCUUAAUGAAUACAUUAAUAAACGAUCCUUCGCCAUGUUUUUCUUUUCAUAGCCAUCAAAAUCUUUAUAAAACCUACAGCACAAUACAUAACAUCUCGUUACAAGAUUUGCUUUUAAAAAAAUCAAUGCAUACCUAA